GCUCGUGAAGAGAUAAGAUACUGAAGUUGGUAUAGCGGUCGUGGUAGGAACUGGUGAUGUGCUCGUGCCAACUGCAGAGUAUUCCUUUUUGUGGUCAUUUUCGGUGUUAAAAGUAUCUUUGAUGAGCUUCUUCUUCUCGUGAUCCAACAGCUGCUUAGAAGAUGCAUCGAAUCCGGACCGAUCCGGAAAUUGCCUCGGGAAGAAAUAAGUCGUUCUGUGAGGCAUUUUUCGACGGACCUCACC
rnacentral:misc_RNA from 1 species